UUCGUUUACUAUGUUGUGUCUAGUCUAUGAGGUCAAGCUAGACUGACGAACAUUACUCUGGAAGUUGAACCUCCAGGGCAGUGAUGCAGCUCCCACUACCAUGCUCUGACAUACAGAGGAACAAAGACACCUCAGGACAUUGACCCUGACGUUGUUACAAUCUGUUUCAUUUGCACCCGCCUCAAAUAUCACAUUAGAUUUCUAGUAUGAGAAUCGUUACUAGUCCUGAACUUGAACAACUGUGGCUAACUCAACAGACAGUAGUAAUAUGGAGUACUUCAUAUUCUGUAAUACAGUAAACGACUGCUAUGUGUAGCACAAUUUGUGAGGAUUACAUUACCUUUUCAAUUCACAUGAGGACAGUUCAAAGAUGCUGUUGAAUGGCGAUACUGUGGCAGUGGUGAAAUCGAGCCCUAGCAGUGGGGCUAUGCUGGAAGGCUCAGAGAUGUAGCCCUGGGGUGUAAUGUAGCAUAAUCAGGCCAGGCCAAGGCCAGGAGAGCUGGAGCAGAGAGAGAGAGAGAGAGGAGAAGCAUGGGUCUUAUCUAUAAUGAAUGACACAAUGGAAGGCCAAAUAUUCCACUUUAUUCAUCAUUAUCUCUUGGGGUGGGAGGAAUCAUUAAACAUUUAAAUACUGGAAGUAUAUAACUACAAGGUCUUUGUGAAAUAUGGAUGUAUUCUAAUAUUGUUAUUCUAUCUGCUUUGUCAAACCAUUUGAUUUAUGAUGUGCGUUUUCACAGUAUUUUUUUUAUUUCACCAAAAUAACUUCUAACACUUGUUUUAUUAGUUAACCUUAGAAAGGAUUAUAUAAAUGCCUACUUUCAUAUUGGUG